rnacentral:rRNA from 1 species
GUUGUAUGGUUAAGUGACUAAGCGUACACGGUGGAUGCCUUGGCAGUCAGAGGCGAUGAAAGGCGUAAUAACUUGCGAUAAGCCCAGAUUAGGUAGUAAUAACCUUUUGAGUCUGGGAUUCCUGAAUGGGGAAACCCACUUGCAUAAGCAAGUAUCCUGUUGUGAAUACAUAGCAACAGGAGGCAAACCGGGGGAACUGAAACAUCUAAGUACCCCGAGGAAGAGAAAUC